rnacentral:tRNA from 1 species
GCAAGCAUGGCCGAAUGGUUACGCUGUUCGCUUUGUGAGCGGAUGAUCAUGGUUUCGAUUGCCAUCUGCUUCA